CGCUGAACUUAAGCAUAUCAAUAAGCGGAGGAAAAGAAACUAACAAGGAUUCCCCUAGUAACGGCGAGUGAAGCGGGAAGAGCUCAAAUUUGAAAUCUGGCGGUCUCACGGCCGUCCGAGUUGUAGUCUAGAGAGGCGUUAUCCGCGACGGACCACGUACAAGUCCUUUGGGAUGCGGCGUCAUAGAGGGUGAGAAUCCCGUCCAUGACGUGGACUACCGUCGCUUUGCGUUGCGCCUUCGAAGAGUCGAGUUGUUUGGGAAUGCAGCUCAAAACGGGUGGUAAAUUCCAUCUAAAGCUAAAUAYAGGCGAGAGACCGAUAGCGAACAAGUACCGUGAGGGAAAGAUGAAAAGAACUUUGGAAAGAGAGUUAAACAGUACGUGAAAUUGCUGAAAGGGAAACGCUUGGAGUCAGUCGCGUCCUCGAGGAUUCAGCCCGGCUUUUGUCGGGUGCACUUCCUCUGGGGACGGGCCAGCAUCAGUUUCGAGCGUCGAAGAAUGGCGGGAGGAAUGUGGCACCCUCGGGUGUGUUAUAGCCUCCUGUGGGACGCGACGCUCGGGACUGAGGACCGCUUUGAUAGGAUGCUGGCGUAAUGGCUUUAAACGA
rnacentral:rRNA from 1 species